GAGAGCUGACAGCCCACCCUGUUACCAGCGACCUUCUGGGCAUAAAAGCCAGCCAUGUUGUUGCUCAAAAGACUGUUGGUGUCCAGUCCCAAUGGGGUCUUCAGAGAGCUGGAACCUGCGGUGCUGUCCUGCCUCCGGGGCUACAGCGUCUGCAUCUUCACCUAUGGCCAGACAGGGACCGGGAAGACCUACAGCAUGGAGGGCCCUCCUGAGGACCCCGGCAUAGUUCCUAGGGCGCUGCAGUCGCUGUUCCGGGAGAUGGGGGCCGGCCGGCAGCACCAGGUGACACUCAGCAUGGUGGAGAUCUACAAUGAGGCUGUCAGGGACCUCCUUGCUCCAGGGCCUCCCGAGCGCCUGGCCGUGAGGCAGGGCCCAGAAGGCCAGGGCGGGAUCCAGGUGGCUGGCCUCACCCACUGGGACGUGCCCAACCUGGAGACAUUGCACCAGAUGCUGAAACUGGGGAGGAGCAAUCGGGCCACCGCCGCCACCGCCAUGAACCAGCGCAGCUCCCGGUCGCACGCCCUGGUCACGCUGACGCUGCGCUUGGCGUCUCCACCGCGCGCUCCAGGCACCGCAGGUACCACGGUCGGUGCCUGAGCCCUGCGGAGUCUCCAGCACACCUGAGGCCCAGCCUUCCCCCAUGUCGGGCUCGCUCGCCCCUCUAGGCACGCUGCACCUG
rnacentral:sRNA from 1 species